CUACCCUCGGGAGGGAAUGGAAACCGGUUUAAUGCGACCUCCAUCAAUGUUAAACCCAAAGACCAUAUAUCUGACGAUAUAGUAUAAGAUCCCCCAGAAAUUCGUUCAGGCGCCAUGUAAUACGAAGUUCCAGUGAAUGUGCCAGCGAGAGAGUUAACCAAUUCUCCAGAUACACCAAAAUCGCAUAACUUCACUUGACCUUUUGACGUCAGAAGGAUAUUUGAUGGCUUAAUAUCACGGUGUAUUAUUUUCCUGUCAUGUAAAUAGCUUAAACCGCUAAGGACACCGAAUGCAAUCUUGCCCAAUGGUCGUUCUCCAGUGCGUCCACCUUGACUGCGUACGCGUUUGUAUAUCGCGUCGAGAGAUCCUGCUCCGCAAUAUUCCAUAGCUAUGUUUAACUGACACUCUGCGUUAUUGUAGCAAGCGCCAUAAUAUUUAACGAUGUAAGGAGAGGUACAACUUCUGUUGAUUUUUAACUCUCGAAGGAGUUGCUUUUGUAAAGCGGUAUUCGGAGCAGCUAAUACAGUUUUCAUAGCGAAAAUCAUCUGAGUCCCACGAAUUCUGCAUUUCCUUACAGAGCCACUAACACCUUCACCUAGACUGUUCAUGUACAAAAUACCUCCAUUUGUAACCAAUUCAUGUAGGUGAUCAUCAUCAAGUUCUUCCAGAAAGGAAGGAACAAAUGUUUUACUAUCCCGGCUCUCCUUUCGCUGAGUUAAUUUCGACUCGCUAGAAAACACCAGGUCUGUAAUCUCGACAAUUCCUUGAUUGUCAUUACGUUCAGGAUGACUUAUAUAUUCUUCAGAGAACCCAUUACUGGUAUCUAAGUUCAAGACAGGUUUUUUGGACAUAGAGGCAUGGGCGCUUUCUUCGAUAUUUUUUCAAUUUGUAGAAAGAGUGACAAGAGAUGACUGAUACCAAGUCCAAAAGUUUGUUUGUAUUUUUAACAAACUUCAAUUUUUAUUCUUCUUUUCCAAAAACGCAAGGAAAGUAAAUUCUAACGUAUGGUCUUCCCGCUAAAUAAACCUACCAAUUAUAAACUUUUUUGAAGUUUUUGCUUCCUGAAUUAGAAAAUUAGAGGAUAGCACUAUAAACGGAAACUUUGAUGGAAGAGUUAAUUCCUCGCAAACAAACAACCGAGGCCUCUAUUAGAAGAAAUCGUAUAGUUUUCGGAAGCUAUACUAAAUACGAUUGACCAUUAUUAGUAUAACCUACAUUUCUAAAUUAGGACUUCACUAAAUAACUUAUGGACUUAGCUAUGUAGAUACGUUAUUUUAGAAUUAGUGAGACCUUUGUUAAAACGACUUCGGGAAUUGUUCAUUACGAGUAUA